CUCUUCUUCACUUGCUCUAUACUAGUUCUUUACCUUUAAGACUCUCUCUCUCUCUCUCUCUCUCUCUCUCUCUCUCGAUUGUUUUUUUCUUCUUCUAUUUGCUAAAGAAAAAAAAACAUGGAUAUGGAUAUCUCUCAAAACCCUAGCUUCACAUACUUCUCCGAUGAAAACUUUAUUAAUCCUUUCAUGGACAACAAUGAUUUCUCCAAUUUGAUGUUCUUCGACGUCGUCGAUGAAGGAGGCAACAGUGGAUUAAUCGAGCAGGAGAUUUCAUCUCCGACAAGCAUCAUUUCGUCGGAGACAUUUACCGGUGAAAGCGGCGGUUCCGGCAGCGCAACAACGUUGAUUAAAAAGGAAUCAAGAAGAAAUACGGGAAGUAAAGAGAGUGAGACGAAGGAGAUGGGUCAUCGAGUUGCAUUUAGAACGAGAUCGAAGAUUGAUGUGAUGGAUGAUGGUUUUAAAUGGAGGAAGUAUGGGAAGAAAUCUGUCAAAAACAACAUUAACAAGAGGAAUUACUACAAAUGCUCAAGUGAAGGUUGCUCGGUGAAGAAGAGGGUGGAGAGAGAUGGUGAAGAUGCAGCUUAUGUAAUCACGACAUACGACGGAGUGCAUAACCAUGAGAGUCCGUCUCACGUAUAUUACAACGAGAUGGUUUUGUCUUAUGAUCAUGACAAUUGGAACCAACACUCUCUUCUUCAAUGUUAAUCCAAAUCUCUCCUUCCUCAUUUGAGAUUGUAAGAUAGAGCUACGAAGAUUAUAUGUAAUCUCUAUGUAAUUUUAUAGGUUAAACGUUGUCGUUUUAUAUUGUUCUUCCCCCCAAAUCAAAUCUCAACACUUAAAAAAAAAAAAAAUUUCAGUAAAUUUCAAGGAAAGCCAUACAAGACGAGGUUUUGGGAUCUCUCUGAUCUCUCGAUCGAUCCAGAUUCAUCCACUUCACUUUUCCUCGUUUCAGAUUCUGGAGAAGCUUCGGAAGAGAAAUUUGUAUUCCCAGAUUUAUUCGAGGAGGAAGACGAAGACGAACCGGAACCGGAACCGGAACCCGAACCCUAGUUGAUUGAUUUAUCAAUUUAUAAAAAAAAAUUGAUCUGAAAUCUCGGUUAGAUCUGUUGGUUCUCUCGAUCGAGGAGGGAGGUGAAGAAUCUGCGGUUGUCGGUGUUGAUUAGUUGCUUAGGGUAAUGUCAUAAGGUGAUUGAAUCAUAACAUUGUGAGAGGUUUGUUUGCUAUGAGCGUUUCUGGAAGCUGUAUCUUCUCGUUUUGGAUUGGAGUGAUCGAAGAGGACUUUGAUUGAAGAAGAGUCUUAGUUUUCUUUUUUGUUA